rnacentral:snRNA from 1 species
GUGCUGGCUUCAAUAACCCAUGCACUAAAUAUAAAAUGAUACAGAGAAGAUUCAUCUGCCCCUCUGUCCAAAGAGAUGACAUGCUAAAUUCUGAACUAGUCCAGAUUUUA